GUUAAGUUGUUCUAGGAACACAUGCUUGGCAAUAAAGAUGGCUGUUUUGACAACCGGACUUCGACUACGACACGGUGAUUGCUAAAUUCAGCAAACAUUUUGUGCCAAAAAGAAAUGUCAUGCAUGAUCAAGCCUGCCUCCACAAGCGUGUACAAAAUACAGAACAAGAGAGACGAGUAGGAGGAGACGAGAAACCUCGGUGCGGCAGGACGCAAAGAGGCAGUCACCCAAACACAGAGGUUCUGUAGACGGCGAGAACGGUUCCACCGUCAGGAUCCUGCCCCCUUUGAGAACCCAGAAGAGCCCAUCCAGUGAGCAGCAGGCCGAUUUCCUGGUGCUGCCAAACUUCACCGCCAAGGUAAACCCUGCAACCGCACAUCCAUCAUCACUUCUAAUGAAUCCAUGUAAACAUCUGGUCCCUUCUGGCAGGAGACUGAUGAGCUGUCCGUCACCAAAGGAAGACGUGGACCCGGGGGACGAUGGUUGGUGGGCGGUGGAGAAGGGGGCGGAGUUUGGCCUGGUGCCUGGGUCAAAACCCCCUGUCCCAUAUAGAACAGAGACUGGACACACCCCUUUGGUUUGACCUUCUCACAGGAACCAACUGUUCUUUGUCAACAGCAAUACAGUCUCUCUCUCUCUCUCUCUCUCACACACACAUUCACCAUUGUCUCUGGAUGUAAAAUCACCCUGGUUUCACUGUGAAGUUCUCUGGAGGUUCUCUUAGUUCCUUAUUUAAUUUGGGUGUUAAUGUGUGUGUGUGUGGCUCUGUGCUCUGACCUGCUGUUGCCUGAGAGUAAUGUGUCAGAAACGUUCUGAGAACGUCUGAGUAACGUCAGUGAUCUGCUCUGUACCAGGGGAUGAACAGUGAAAACUUCAUCCCUCCCGAUCUCUACUGUUUAGAAUAAAUGAAUCAAUACUUAGAUAUUUUGACCGGAU
rnacentral:lncRNA from 1 species